UUCUGGCUCAGGACGAACGCUGGCGGCGUGCCUAACACAUGCAAGUCAACGGGACUAUAUUGAUUAAUCUUCGGAAGCGUUGGUAUAGUUUAGUGGCGGACGGGUGAGUAACACGUGAGCAACCUGCCUUUCAGAGAGGGAUACCGUUUGGAAACGAACGCUAAUACCUCAUAACGUAUCGUGACCGCAUGAUCGUGAUACCAAAGGAGCGAUCCGCUGAAAGAUGGGCUCGCGGCUGAUUAGAUAGUUGGUGGGGUAACGGCCUACCAAGUCGACGAUCAGUAGCCGGACUGAGAGGUUGAACGGCCACAUUGGGACUGAGACACGGCCCAGACUCCUACGGGAGGCAGCAGUGGGGAGUAUUGCGCAAUGGGGGCAACCCUGACGCAAGCAACGCCGCGUGUGGGAAGAAGGUCUUCGGAUUGUAAACCAUUGUCUUCGGUGACGAUAAUGACGGUAGCCGAGGAGGAAGCUCCGGCUAACUACGUGCCAGCAGCUGC
rnacentral:rRNA from 1 species